UCAAAUGCUCAUCCUUGCUUAAACUAAAUGUUUUCAGUUACGUACGAUCGACCUGAAGGCUCAGGCACGAACAAGGGAAAAGAAAAGCUGUUCGAAUGAGAUUUAGUAUGAGUUAAUGGUUAUAGUUAGUAAGACAAUGGAAUCUAUUGUCAGGUAUUGUAAGGAAUGUAUUUUGAAGGUCACGUACCUGGGAAAGUAAACUUUGAUGUAUGUAAAUUAAGUUCGAAUGUAUUAUUAUUUAGUAUUAUUCAGCUUAAAGAAUUGGUAUCGUGGAGAACCGAGUUCGGGUU
rnacentral:lncRNA from 1 species